AUUGAACGCUGGCGGCAGGCCUAACACAUGCAAGUCGAACGAGGGGCGGGCGGGUGAGUAAUGUCUGGGAAACUGCCUGAUGGAGGGGGAUAACUACUGGAAACGGUAGCUAAUACCGCAUACCCUCAGAUGUGCCCAGCUGGGAUUAGCUUGUUGGUGGGGUGACGGCUCACCAAGGCGACGAUCCCUAGCUGGUCUGCGAGGGUGACGAGCCAGUCUGGAACUGAGACACAGUCCAGAUGCCUGCGGGAGGCAGAGGUGGAGAAUAUUGCACAAUUGACACAAGCCUGAUGCAGCCAUGCCGCGUGUAUGAAGAAGGCCUUAAGGUUGUAAAGUACUUUCAGCGGGGAGGCGUUACCCGCAGAAGAAGCACCGGGUAACUCCGUGCCAGCAGCCGCGGUAAUAC
rnacentral:rRNA from 1 species